UUUUCUUUGAGUCGCGUUGUUUGGGAAUGCAGCGCAAAGUAGGUGGUAAAUUCCAUCUAAAGCUAAAUAUUGGUGCGAGACCGAUAGCGAACAAGUACCGUGAGGGAAAGAUGAAAAGAACUUUGAAAAGAGAGUUAAAGAGUACCUGAAACUGCUGAAAGGGAACCGAAUCGUUUCCAGUGUCUAUAAUCUGCGGCAUAUUUCACGCGCGAGUGCGUGCGUUUCGGGUGCGUGGCAGCGGUCUUUUUUGGCUGCGCCCGCUGCUGUUUGUGCGUGCGCUUGGCCGUGCCCUGUGCCGCGGUGGGACGUCAAGGUCAGUUCGUAUGCUGCGGGAAAUGGCCGUCGGGGAGGUAGGUCUUAAGCUCCGCUUUUGGCUGUUAUAUCUCGGCGGUUGAGUCGUCGCGGUUGGGACUGAGGUGCCUACAACGUGCUUUUGAGCGCGCGCGCGUCUCUGUGCGCGCGGUCUGCGGAUAGCUUGCUAUGCGUGGGUCGCUGCGUGCGGAUGGAUGUGCGCUGCUGCUUUUUGCCGUUCGGGACUUUGACGAAAUGGCGCGAUCCGACCCGUCUUGAAACACGGACCAAGGAGUCUAACACGCGUGCAAGUGUUCUGGUGUGGAAACCAGAGCGCGCAAUGAAAGUGAAGGGCGCCUUACGGCGUCUGAGGUAGGAAACCCUGUCUUCGGGCGGGGUGGCACUAUCGACCGAUCAUGAGCCCUCGUGGCGAAAGAUUUGAGUUUGAGCACGUGUGUUGGUACCCGAAAGAUGGUGAACUAUGCCUGAGUAGGGUGAAGCCAGGGGAAACUCUGGUGGAAGCUCGUAGCGAUUCUGACGUGCAAAUCGAUCGUCAAACUUGGGUAUAGGGGCGAAAGACUAAUCGAACCAUCUAGUAGCUGGUUCCCUCCGAAAUUUCCCUCAGGAUAGCAGCAACUUAUUUACGAUA
rnacentral:rRNA from 1 species